rnacentral:rRNA from 1 species
UUGGACGCUAGCGGCGGAUGGGUGAGUAACACGUGGGCAAUCUGCCCUAAAGACUGGGAUACCACUUGGAAACAGGUGCUAAUACCGGAUAACAACAUGAAUCGCAUGAUUCAAGUUUGAAAGGCGGCGCAGGCUGUCACUUUAGGAUGAGCCCGCGGCGCAUUAGCUAGUUGGUGGGGUAAAGGCCUACCAAGGCAAUGAUGCGUAGCCGAGUUGAGAGACUGAUCGGCCACAUUGGGACUGAGACACGGCCCAAACUCCUACGGGAGGCAGCAGUAGGGAAUCUUCCACAAUGGACGCAAGUCUGAUGGAGCAACUCCGCGUGAGUGAAGAAGGUCUUCGGAUCGUAAAGCUCUGUUGUUGGUGAAGAAGGAUAGAGGCAGUAACUGGUCUUUAUUUGACGGUAAUCAACCAGAAAGUCACGGCUAACUACGUGCCAGCAGCCGCGGUAAUACGUAGGUGGCAAGCGUUGUCCGGAUUUAUUGGGCGUAAAGCGAGCGCAGGCGGAAUGAUAAGUCUGAUGUGA